UACGUAGGGUGCAAGCGUUGUCCGGAAUUAUUGGGCGUAAAGAGCUCGUAGGCGGUUUGUCGCGUCUGCUGUGAAAUCUGGGGCUCAACCCCAGCCUGCAGUGGGUACGGGCAGACUAGAGUGCGGUAGGGAGAUUGGAAUUCCUGGUGUAGCGGUGGAAUGCGCAGAUAUCAGGAGGAACACCGAUGGCGAAGGCAGAUCUCUGGGCCGUAACUGACGCUGAGGAGCGAAAGCAUGGGGAGCGAACAGG
rnacentral:rRNA from 1 species